CUAUCGGGCGCUGAAGGCGCCGACGAGGACCUCUCCCUCCCGUAUCCCUAACCUUGUGACGCCUACCUUCGCGCCGCCACUUCCCAUGGAUCGGGCCGCUGCGUCCGAUGGAUUGUGCCGCCGCUCUGCUCACCACCGUAGUCGUCACAGCCUAUCCCAGCAGUCGUCGCUGCCCACCGCAUCCAGCCGCUGUCGCAUCUCACCGCCUCCACCGCCCCCAUGAAUCACCGCCUCCUCUCUCUUGGACCAGCAUGCUGUGGUGGAUGCUUCCGGUCCCGUUGUGGCGACACGGCUGGUCAAGGGAACGCGGCGAGGCGGAUUGUGUCCCGUUCGUUGAUCUGCCCCACUUGCUGCUGCUCCUCUCCCAUCGACCGUCACGUCAACAUUUACCGCGACACACGACGUUCUCCUCUUCUGCGACGAUGCUUAUAAGCGACAAUAAUGGUGUCCUGUUGUGGCCCAACACUCAUCGGACCGCUGAAGCACGGAAGUGCCCGGAGAAGAUCGCUCUCUGCUUAGCAAAUUCCACCGUGUUCUGAAUGGCUGCCCAACAAGACGCUCUGCCGGAUGUUCAUCAUCAGCGCCAGUCAUGGGUUCGGGCUACUGUGGAACUCAUGGCAUCAACCAUAUGAACCUGCAUGUAUUCGAUAGUUUGCUCGAUCAGUUUUAUGCCUUCCACUACAGCUAAGGCUACUACGCAACUUCAUUGAGAUUUUUUCUAUAGGACUUGGAUUAAUAAUCCCCAACAAUACGGUCACGCUUCUUAUAAAUUUCAGACGCUAUGCUGGAUGUUCAUCAUCGGUGGCAGUCAUGGGUUCAGGCUCCUGUGGAAAUCAUGGCAUCGACCAUAUGAACCUUCAUGUAUUUGAUAGUUUGCUCGAUCAGUUUUAUGCCUUCCACUACAGCUAAGGCUACUACGCAGCUUCAUUGAGAUUUUUUCUAUAGGAUUUGGAUUAAUAAUCUCCAAUAAUAUGGUCAUGCUUCUUAUAAUUACUUUCAUGUAUAAAUACAUUUGUGAUUUUCUGUAUGUUGUACUACUAAACUGUGUGCUAUACCAAGCCUAAGCAAUGUUAAGUAGACCUUUGAAUUCUUAAUAAGGAAAUUACACAAUCUGUUCUGUGUGCUGUAGGAUUAGUGUUGUUUGAAGAUGUUUUUCUUCUUACCAAUCAGGUUGAUGAUUUUGACUGUCGAUGCAGACGCUGUGCCGGAUGUUCAUCACCGGUGGCAGUCAUGGAUUCAGGCUCCUGUGGAACUCAUGGCAUCGACCAUAUGAACCUUCAUGUAUUUGAUAGUUUGCUCGAUCAGUUUUAUGCCUUCCACUACAGCUAAGGCUACUACGCAGCUUCAUUGAGAUUUUUUUCUAUAGGAUUUGGAUUAAUAAUCUCCAAUAAUAUGGUCAUGCUUCUUAUAAUUACUUUCAGGUAUAAAUACAUUUGUGAUUUUCUGUAUGUUGUACUACUAAACUGUGUGCUAUACCAAGCAUGACAUCUGCGCCUUUUCAGAUAUGCAUGGAUUUUUCAAGAGAAUUUAUCUAAUAUGUAGUAUAUAGCUAGAAAGGUACCUAAAUGUAUAUUGCCAACUCUUGAAAAUAUACGGACCUUUUACAUUUUUUGCCGUGAACCUAGGCAGCUUGGGACGGAGUAGGUGUCAAUAGUAAGUAUAUACCAGAACAUUUUUUUAUGAUUGCUAGAACAAUAUUUCUGCGAUAUUGUAUAUACUAACAUAGUGACUGUGGAAUACUAAUUCAAAGUAUAUACUAUUGUACUGUAUUUUGUCUAAAUACCAUCUAUAUCAAAGUAGUACAUAGACUGCUCUUUGUGCACGGCAAUAUGUAGCAUACAAAAUUAAAUCAAAUGGGUAUAUAACAUACACUUUGAUAAAGUAAGUAUAUACUUUUUUUCUGGUGCAGUAUAUACAACAUUUUCGUAAGGCAAUAUAUAGUACUUUUUAAGUGAACCAGUAUACUACCCUUUUUAUUCAGUAUAUACAUAAUCUUUUAGUCGAUAUAUACUACUCUUUCUGAGUAGGUAUAUACUACUGUUCUUGAUAUAUAAGGCAACCUGCAAAUUCCAUGCCGCCAUUGUGGACCAGUGCAUGCCAUGCCAACAUUGUUUCUUAUUACCACCGUUAUUGACAAUAUUGGUGGUGCCGUCGCAUGGAUCAAUCAGUGCACCCCACACUGUUGCUUUGUCGACGAGAUGGUAGUGACGUCUUAUCCAUCGAUCAGUGCACCUACUUAUUAACGUCGCAUCGGCUAUGUGACUAGCUGCGUCAGUGGCUUUGCACCUCGAUCCAGAUUACUUUCAUGCAAAGCCUGUCAUGUUUGCCUUAUGUGCAGGAAUAGGCAAGCACAACAGAAGACCUGAUCAUAGACACUCAUAGUCUGAGGUAAAUACUCCUUCAAUGCAAGCUGUCAAAUAGUUUUCUUUUAUCUUGAAAACUGUAAAUUUAUUUAAAAAAUUGUGGUAACAAAUUUAUUAAGUUAUUACGUGGGAGAGACCAUCAACUAAUAACAAUAUAUAAAACAAGGGUAGGCUAGGAAAAAGAUACAUCAUUCUUAGAAAAUUCUACUAACAAAGUUGUUAAGUUAUUACGUGGGAGAGACUCAACUAAUAAUAUAAAAACAAGGGUAGGCAGUAUUAUCGGAAAGAUUGGACGCUACUUCUUCCUCCAGGCCCGAAAGAGAUCACGCUUCUCCACCAUCUCUUCCUCUCCUGGUUAGAAAACAACCUCAAUCAAUUUUCCUUAUUUGUAACUUUUUCGGCUGUGCUAAUGGAGCUUAUACUAAAAACUGUUUUCCUCAUCUGCAUCAGGUUCAUUUUCUUACAAUAUUUUGUUAUAUGUUUUUCCUUGCGGGUUUAUCUUGAAUACACAAUAACUUUGGAUUUGAGAUCACUUUGCUUUGUACCAUGUGCUUGGAUAGUGUUGUGCCCUCCAAGGAUGCAAUCCCGGCUCUUCUCACUAGAACCUAUGGAUACCUCAUGGAGAUUUGUUGGAGCAUAAUCUUCUAAUGUACAACCUAUGUAUACAUAUGGACAUCGGAGGGAGCAUAAUUAUGAUCAUCAAGCGAGCUUAUAAAAACCUGUUGUCUAAACAGACUACAGCGGCAUGAAGGAGGCUAAUGUCAGUUGUCAACGUCGUCACUGGUCAAGUUACUAAUCAAUUUUUGUAUCGACAAAACAUGUCCAGGACCCUCCAUGGGAGAGUUAACAUCUUCAAUGGCCUUCCCAAUCUCCAGUUACGGCUGAUGUUGUUGCUUGAUAUGCUGGUCCGCCACAAUCUCCUGUUCAUGGAAGUUCCUUGCCAAGCUGCCAUGUCCUGGCAGUUGAGAAUUGACUUCUCAUGAAUUUUCUUCUAACCCUUUUUUCAGUCAGCAGAUAGUGCAGAUAGUUAGGCGGUGAAACACUUGACAAUGAAGAUGUUUGUCAACUACUAAAACAUUGAUGGCUUCUGUUAUACUGUAUAUCUAAAUAAACAAUUUUGCGGGCAAUUUUUUUGCAUAAGUAAAGGCAUGUGAGAACUGCUAA